GACGAACGCUGGCGGCGCGCUUAACACAUGCAAGUCGAGCGAGAACCGGAGCUUCGGCUCCGGGGAAAGCGGCGAACGGGUGAGUAUCACGUGGGCAACCUGCCCUCGGCACCGGGAUAGCCCGGGGAAACCCGGAUUAAUACCGGAUAGCCUCCGAAGCCUUCGGGCGUCGGAGAAAAGGUGGCUUCGGCUUCCGGCUGAGGAUGGGCCUGCGGCGGAUUAGCUUGUUGGUGGGGUAACGGCUCACCAAGGCGACGAUCCGUAGCUGGUCUGAGAGGACGAUCAGCCACACUGGGACUGAGACACGGCCCAGACUCCUACGGGAGGCAGCAGUGGGGAAUCUUGCGUAAUGGGCGAAAGCCUGACGCAGCGACGCCGCGUGCGGGAAGAAGGCCUCGGUUGUAA
rnacentral:rRNA from 1 species